GCUAGCGUAUCUAGUCUGUGUAUAUCUAUGGUCGGCACGUCUGGUAGCAUCUCUGGCUGCUGUUGAUCUUGUUUUUGGAGUAAAACACGGUGGAAGCUGAAUUAGUGAGGAUGACUCCUGCUCCUGUCAUCUCUAAGCUCCUCACACAUCUUUACCUGCACAUGAGGAAAAUCACUCCUGUAGAAUGCAGUGGUUCAUCAGAACCUCUGGGGAUGUCCUGUGGAUCCUGUGGAUCCUGUGGGUUGCAGGGUGGGUCCUACCUAGACCAGGCUGAUCCUGGACCAUCCCACAGAUGCUCCAUCAGAUCUGGAUGUGGGGAGUGUGGAACCCAGAUGUUCAGAGGGAGAUGAUGCCACAUCUGGUCCAGCUGAUGGAAGGUCUUGAAGUUCUCUGACUGGCCUCGACUGAAGAUGGUCGUCUCACUGGAUUUAAGGUUCAGAUGCUCAGUAACAAACUCCACCAAUGAGCCAACAGGGAAGCUUUAGGUUUAUUAAAUGUUGCUAUGAAGGUUUCGCUGUUUUUCUUUGUGAAUGCAAUGUGCUCCAACUGAAAGUUGAAUUAGAACUUAGAAGUAAAUCCUUCCAUCUGAAAGGAUUUAGUUGCAUUAAUAACCUCAUAACAUUCUAAUUUUUAUUCCAGUCUUGGUUGAAAAUAGAAUCUCUGUAUUGAUUCAGGUAAAAACUGAACUUCACAGCAUGUUGGAGCAAAACAACCAGAUGAAAACUGUGAUGGUGUUGGAUUGUCAGACCGUAAUGUUGCAGCUCAAAGCAGCUUUUCUAGCUCAGUUCAUUCUGACAUUCAGCUAUGAAUCAACACAGCAGAUGGUGAUCCAUGCUGUGGAAGUCUCACAUCUCCUGAUUUAAUGGAGCUGCUUUGCACUUUUUACACUGUUUAUUCACCAACACUUUAUUUAAUAAAAGUCCCAUCUACUUUUUAUGAGGAAUGUGAUGUUUAAUUUCUCUGUGAAUAACUGCAGUCUAAUGCAACAGCUGGAAUAUUAACAUCUGUCCUGGUAUUGAUCAUGAAGUAUUGAUCAGAAUACUUAUGGUUAGCAGUCAUCCCUGAAGUUUUACAUUAAAAUCUUUACUUGUGUUGUGAACUUUGGUAAGAAGCAGAAACUUUAGCGUUGCCAUGGAUACAUGAGUGUUAAAUUCUGUCCAAGUUUCCAUUUUGGGAAAUUCAGUCCAGUUCCAGAAUGUGGAGGAAUUUAGUCUCAAUCACAGUCAACAAAUAUUAUCUGAAAGUUGGGUUGUUCUUGUUUAUCAGCACAAUACAAAAAGAUUAAUGUUAGAAAUAUUCCAGUUAAGACCCUAGAAUAUCAUGAUUUAUGUAAAUUUACCUCAAUAAUAUGAAUGUUCAGGUUAAGAUUGUACAGUGAUAUUUAUUAUGCAAGUUUAGCUGAUUAAAGUUUAUGACUCUGCACUACAAUAUUAUUUAAAUUGACAUCAUUAUUAUAAUAUUUAGGGUCAGACCCUACAGUAUUGAGCUUAAGAAAUCAAAUAUUCUAUAAAAUGUAAAUACACUGAACUCAUUUGGAUGUAUUUAAGUGAGACUCUACAAUAUUAUUUGACACAAAUCUAUCUAAAUCAACAUUUUAAUAAUUUUCACGCCAAACAUUUACUGGACUGAUUUAAAUAUUAAAAUCACUCCUUUAUAAUCUUCUGCUGUACGUUCAAACCUGAGGCCUUAAAUAGAAACACACAAGUAUCUGAUUGAAGGAACUUCUGCAGAGUCCUGGUUCCAGAACAUGAUGAUAGAAUUAUAGACAAACUUUAACAAAAGCUGCCUGAGAGUUUACAGGUUUUUAUGUUGGAUUUCUUCAGUAAUUUAAUGAGCGUUAUCAGCAAUAAUCAAGUGUUCAUUUGAUGAACUUCAUUUCCUAAAACAUCCAGAAUUGGAGCUCAUAUCUUUGGCAGCUGUAAAGUUUCUGCUCCUUCAAAGUUCACAACACAAUGAAUGAAUUCCUAAAACACUCUCAAUGCUGGAGAGCGUUUGAUGCUGAAGCAGUGACCAGUUUUUCUGUUUCUUCUCUGGAGAUGCACAAUGAGGGACGUCUGCAGCGACUGAGAAAGAGUCUCACCACAUCCUGACAUGAGGAAAAAGACUUUAUUGAAGACUACAAUGAGAAAAACUAUCAGACAGCAGACGGCAUGCAUUCAAAGUGAGCUCUGAACAUUU